GAGCUCACUUUGGCAGCAUGUAUACUAAAACUGGAACAAUACAGGGAAGAUUAGCAUGGCCCGUGUGCAAGGAUGACCCACAAAUUUGUAAAGAGUUUCAUAACAAA
rnacentral:snRNA from 1 species